rnacentral:lncRNA from 1 species
AGAGAAGGAGGCCAGUGCUACCAGGGUUAUCUCGCAGCCUCAGAUGUUGGAUAAGUCGAAGGAGGCAGGAUCGCUUCAGGAUGACAUUCAGAAAGGCCGGAGUGAUUACUGGGAAGAGAAAGCCUACCUAUUUUUUUCUAAGGUAAACAGUUCAUUUCAUCUGUC